UAAUCAUGUUCCCUCUCCUUGGACCUAUUACGCUUCCAAGCCUACAACUUAGUCAUCCUUGCAGGCAAGCUCUCCCCAUUUCCCUGUUUUGCUGGUCAGGUUCAUCCAGAAUAUUUGCUCACUUCUUUGCUUUCCUCCCAGCUAGUAGUUCAGACUCCCCAGGUGCUCAGCUCUCUGUGCUCUCUCCAGGAAAAUAAUUAAGCACAUGCUUGACUUUAAGCAUACGAAACUAAUGGUAAUUAGGAUAACAGUGGGCUUUACAGCACUCUCCUUUCCUUUGCUGACAGUUCCUCAGCCUCAGCAUGAUGCGGAAACUCUUAAACACAAAGUCUUCCUGUAAUUUAAACACCCAGCCGUAUGCGUAAUUCAAAUAAGAUGUGGAGGCGGGUGCUGAGACGCCAGGACAGUGAGCUAAAGCAGGCUCAGGGAGGAUGCGGAUUCCAGGAGCCUCACGUCAGCAGAUGUGCCAGAGGAAUUCCUGCCUCCGCCAACCCUGCGCAUCCACAGCCUGAGGGAGGAGAAUGCCGGGCAUGUGUUGCACAAAGGUUCCCCACCUGCCGAUCUUGGCAAGAGUCGGAGCAAAGGCAAAAAAAAUAGUUACAUGUUUUAAAAGCAAAUUUGAGUUCCCUUGUUUUGGUAUGGGCCAUCCUUUUAAAUCCCAAACAAUCUUCUUAUUCAGAGGUGAAAUCUGAUCUGGCAGACAUUUCAGUGCCGGACCCUGUUUUCUGCUGACUUCAGGAGACUUAAAGAGACUUUUUGACCAACAUUGUUGUUAAUUUCAAGUAUGCACUUGGCCUAGUAUUUUUCCUCUGAGAUUUACAUUACACUGUUUUACUCACUCUGGUACUUUCUAUCCAUGUUCUCACUGAAGCUGUGUCCAUGAAAUACCUAUUGCACUUUGUUACCUGUUGGUGAACACUGGUGUUUUCCUCUGUAAAGAAAUGCAAGUACCUAAAUAACUCUUAGUGCAUCUCUCCUUGACUUUGUUGGGACAUACAGCCUCUGCUGAGCAGAGGUUUAAUUGUACGCCUUCAUCCUUUGCCCUGGGAUGGACUUGAACUGAUGUGUCAAAGGAGCUAUGAGGCGUUCAUCACUGAGUGCAGUGCAAGCUCUUAAACUGGGCUCUGUGGGGCAGCUCCAGCUCAGGCACUGUAGUGCAGGAAGAAAGGGUAGGCAGAAACCUGGCAAAACUGGAUGUUUUCUACUCAGGAGGAGGUGCACUUGCUUCAGUCAAUGCCUGUCCUCAUGAGAAAGAGUACACGACAGUUUUGGGGCUUGUGGCACCUGGUAAAACAUACUGAGCAGAUGGAGAAUCCAGCACAGAGGUGGAGGGAGACCCUGGGUACUACCUGGAUCCACUGAUCCUUAAGCAAAACAUUUCCAUAGGGUUCCACAGCAGCAAACCUUCUCCUCAGUAAAGAACAGAUGAAGAUAUAGCUCUUCUGAAGUCUUAAGUUAUGCAUACUCCCUCCACAUCUGCCAGUAUUUCCACUGUUGUAUUCAUCUAGAAAUAACAAAAGGUGUCAGAGGUUGCCUGGAGUUAGGUGGCAAGCACCAUCUGACCACAUUUCUUAACUGUAAAAUGAGACAGGCCACAUGUCAAAACAGAUUAAAAUAAAUCAUCAUUUGUGAUAGUGUCCCUAAACCCC
ensembl:lncRNA